rnacentral:rRNA from 1 species
AACGAACGCUGGCGGCAGGCCUAACACAUGCAAGUCGAACGUGAAGCUGGAGCUUGCUCCAGUGGAAAGUGGCAGACGGGUGAGUAACGCGUGGGAAUUUACCCAGUGGUACGGAAUAACUCAGGGAAACUUGUGCUAAUACCGUAUAAGCCCUUCGGGGGAAAGAUUUAUCGCCAUUGGAUGAGCCCGCGUUAGAUUAGUUUGUUGGUGGGUAAUGGCCUACCAAGACUACGAUCUAUAGCUGGUCUGAGAGGAUGAUCAGCCACACUGGGACUGAGACACGGCCCAGACUCCUACGGGAGGCAGCAGUGGGGAAUAUUGCACAAUGGGCGCAAGCCUGAUGCAGCCAUACCGCGUGAGUGAAGAAGGCCUUAGGGUUGUAAAACUCUUUCACCGGUGAAGAUAAUGACGGUAGCCGGUAAAGAAGCCCCGGCUAACUCCGUG